rnacentral:rRNA from 1 species
UACGGGGGGGGCAAGCGUUGUUCGGAAUUACUGGGCGUAAAGGGCUCGUAGGCGGCCAACUAAGUUCAGACGUGAAAUCCCUCGGCUUAACCGGGGGAACUGCGUCUGAUACUGGAUGGCUUGAGUUUGGGAGAGGGAUGCGGGAAUUCAGGUGUAGCGGUGAAAUGCGUAGAUAUCGGAGGAACACCGGUGGCGAAGGCGGCAUCCUGGACCAACACUCGACGCUGAGGAGCGAAAGCCA